rnacentral:rRNA from 1 species
AUUGAACGCUGGCGGAAUGCUUUACACAUGCAAGUCGAACGGCAGCACGGACUUCGGUCUGGUGGCGAGUGGCGAACGGGUGAGUAAUGUAUCGGAACGUGCACCGUCGUGGGGGAUAACGAAGUGAAAAUUAAGCUAAUACCGCAUACGCUCUAUGGAUGAAGGCGGGGGAUCGCACGACCUAGCGCGAUUGGAGCGGCAGAUAUCAGAUUAGGUAGUUGGUGGGGUGAAGGCCCACCAAGCCAAGGAUCUGUAGCUGGUCUGAGAGGACGACCAGCCACACUGGAACUGAGACACGGUCCAGACUCCUACGGGAGGCAGCAGUGGGGAAUUUUGGACAAUGGGCGAAAGCCUGAUCCAGCCAUUCCGCGGGCAGGAUGAAGGCCCUCGGGUUGUAAACUGCUUUUGUACAUAACGAAAAGGUUUCUACUAAUACUAGGAGCUCAUGACGGUACUGUAAGAAUAAGCACCGGCUAACUACGUGCCAGCAGCCGCCGUAA